rnacentral:rRNA from 1 species
UACGUAGGGGGCAAGCGUUAUCCGGAUUUACUGGGUGUAAAGGGAGCGCAGACGGCUGUGCAAGUCUGAAGUGAAAGGCAAGGGCUCAACCUUUGGACUGCUUUGGAAACUGUGCAGCUAGAGUGUCGGAGAGGCAAGUGGAAUUCCUAGUGUAGCGGUGAAAUGCGUAGAUAUUAGGAGGAACACCAGUGGCGAAGGCGGCUUGCUGGACGAUGACUGACGUUGAGGCUCGAAAGCGUGGGGAGCAAACAGG